rnacentral:rRNA from 1 species
CCUACGGGAGGCAGCAGUAGGGAAUCUUCCGCAAUGGACGAAAGUCUGACGCAGCAACGCCGCGUGAGUGAUGAAGGCCUUCGGGUUGUAAAGCUCUGUCUUCUGGGACGAUAAUGACGGUACCAGAGGAGGAAGCCACGGCUAACUACGUGCCAGCAGCCGCGGUAAU